rnacentral:lncRNA from 1 species
GUCAGGGUUAAGCUUGGUGCUACCUCUUUGUUUUUCUUUGUUAUUGAAGAGUAAUGGAUAGUUUUUGAAUAUUGAAAAAUGAGUCUGUGGAAUAAAUCAGAGAUUGAUUUAUGAGUUAUUGAUUAUGUAAUUGGAGCACUGAAUGAUUGAAUUAUAUGAAGAAUUAUUAGAAGAUUAUAAUUAUUGUUUAUUGAGAGCUGUGUGUAUUUUGAACAAAGGAAGUUGGUGAUUACAAAAAUUAUGUGAAUUCAGAUUAGUUGGAGUGAAGUCUAUUAAUUCUAGUGUUGGAUGGAAAUUAUGUAUUUUGAGCGGUCUUUUGAGAGUGCAAGGUUGCAUACUAUUGUUAUGACUUGAUGAAGGAGUAUUGUUACAGAGAGAAAGCAUUGUAAUAUUUCUUGGUAUUUUAGUGGUUUGAAAUACGAUUAAUUGUAUGACCCUAACAAGUAAACUCAUGUAUUUAAUCUUUCCCUGUA